AAAAUGAAAGAAUGAAAGAGAAGAGAAGAGAUGAGAAAGAGGACGAUCAAAGAGUUUGUGGUUGUAUGAUACAGUAUGGUACACAAUCGUGAUCUCCGUUUGUGUGUUGUGUUUGGUGCUGUCUUUUUGGAUGGGUGGUGUAUUGAGUGAGAAAAGAAGAAGAAGGAGAAGAGAAGGUGCGAUAAA
rnacentral:ribozyme from 1 species